rnacentral:rRNA from 1 species
UUAAUUUGAGAGUUUGAUCCUGGCUCAGGACGAACGCUGGCGGCGUGCCUAAUACAUGCAAGUCGAACGAACUCUGGUAUUGAUUGGUGCUUGCAUCAUGAUUUACAUUUGAGUGAGUGGCGAACUGGUGAGUAACACGUGGGAAACCUGCCCAGAAGGGGGGAUAACACCUGGAAACAGAUGCUAAUACCGCAUAACAACUUGGACCGCAUGGUCCGAGCUUGAAAGAUGGCUUCGGCUAUCACUUUUGGAUGGUCCCGCGGCGUAUUAGCUAGAUGGUGGGGUAACGGCUCACCAUGGCAAUGAUACGUAGCCGACCUGAGAGGGUAAUCGGCCACAUUGGGACUGAGACACGGCCCAAACUCCUACGGGAGGCAGCAGUAGGGAAUCUUCCACAAUGGACGAAAGUCUGAUGGAGCAACGCCGCGUGAGUGAAGAAGGGUUUCGGCUCGUAAAACUCUGUUGUUAAAGAAGAACAUAUCUGAGAGUAACUGUUCAGGUAUUGACGGUAUUUAACCAGAAAGCCACGGCUAACUACGUGCCAGCAGCCGCGGUAAUACGUAGGUGGCAAGCGUUGUCCGGAUUUAUUGGGCGUAAAGCGAGCGCAGGCGGUUUUUUAAGUCUGAUGUGAAAGCCUUCGGCUCAACCGAAGAAGUGCAUCGGAAACUGGGAAACUUGAGUGCAGAAGAGGACAGUGGAACUCCAUGUGUAGCGGUGAAAUGCGUAGAUAUAUGGAAGAACACCAGUGGCGAAGGCGGCUGUCUGGUCUGUAACUGACGCUGAGGCUCGAAAGUAUGGGUAGCAAACAGGAUUAGAUACCCUGGUAGUCCAUACCGUAAACGAUGAAUGCUAAGUGUUGGAGGGUUUCCGCCCUUCAGUGCUGCAGCUAACGCAUUAAGCAUUCCGCCUGGGGAGUACGGCCGCAAGGCUGAAACUCAAAGGAAUUGACGGGGGCCCGCACAAGCGGUGGAGCAUGUGGUUUAAUUCGAAGCUACGCGAAGAACCUUACCAGGUCUUGACAUACUAUGCAAAUCUAAGAGAUUAGACGUUCCCUUCGGGGACAUGGAUACAGGUGGUGCAUGGUUGUCGUCAGCUCGUGUCGUGAGAUGUUGGGUUAAGUCCCGCAACGAGCGCAACCCUUAUUAUCAGUUGCCAGCAUUAAGUUGGGCACUCUGGUGAGACUGCCGGUGACAAACCGGAGGAAGGUGGGGAUGACGUCAAAUCAUCAUGCCCCUUAUGACCUGGGCUACACACGUGCUACAAUGGAUGGUACAACGAGUUGCGAACUCGCGAGAGUAAGCUAAUCUCUUAAAGCCAUUCUCAGUUCGGAUUGUAGGCUGCAACUCGCCUACAUGAAGUCGGAAUCGCUAGUAAUCGCGGAUCAGCAUGCCGCGGUGAAUACGUUCCCGGGCCUUGUACACACCGCCCGUCACACCAUGAGAGUUUGUAACACCCAAAGUCGGUGGGGUAACCUUUUAGGAACCAGCCGCCUAAGGUGGGACAGAUGAUUAGGGUGAAGUCGUAACAAGGUAGCCGUAGGAGAACCUGCGGCUGGAUCACCUCCUUUCUAAGGAA